GAUGAAUGCUGGCGGCGUGCCUAACACAUGCAAGUCCAGCGGCACCGAGGGGUGCUUGCACCCUGUCUGCGAGCGGCGGACGGCUGAGUAACGCGUGGGAAUCUACCCUAAAGUGAGGGAUAACCGCCCGAAAGGGUGGCUAAUACCGCAUAUGAUCUUCGGAUUAAAGGAGUUAUCCGCUUUAGGAAGAGCCCGCGUUAGAUUAGGUAGUUGGUAGGGUAAUGGCCUACCAAGCCAACGAUCUAUAGCUGGUCUGAGAGGAUGAUCAGCCAGACUGGAACUGAGACACGGUCCAUACUCCUACGGGAGGCAGCCGUGAGGAAUCUUCCACAAUGGGCGAAAGCCUGAUGGAGCAACGCCCCGUGAACGAUGAAGGGCCUCGGGUUGUAAACUUCUUUUAUGAACGAAGAAUAUGACGGUAACUCAUGAAUAAUCACCGGGUUAACUUACGGGCCGCCAGCCGCCGUUAUUACGUACGGGGCAAACCUUUUCCGGGAUGGACGGGCGUAAAGAGUUGCGUAGGCGGUUUAGUAAGUGAAUAGUGAAACCUGGUGGCUCAACCAUACAGACUAUUAUUCAAACUGUUAAACUCGAGAGUGGUAGAGGUAACUGGAAUUUCUAGUGUAGGAGUGAAAUCCGUAGAUAUUAGAAGGAACACCAAUGGCGUAGGCAGGUUACUGGACCAUUUCUGACGCUAAGGCACGAAAGCGUGGGGAGCGAACUGGAUUAGAUACCCAGGUAGUCCACGCCGUAAACGAUGGAUACUAGCUGUUGGAGGUAUCGACCCCUUCAGUAGCGAAGCUAACGCGUUAAGUAUCCCGCCUGUGGAGUACGGCCGCAAGGCUAAAACAUAAAGGAAUUGACGGGGACCCGCACAAGCGGUGGAUCAUGUUCUUUAAUUCGAUGAUAAACGAAGAACCUUACCAGGGUUUGACAUCCCGAGAAGAUUUACGAAAGUAAAUUGUGCCUUUUGGAACUCGGUGACAGAUGAUGCAUGGCCGUCGUCAGCUCGUGUCGUGAGAUGUUUGGUUAAGUCCAUCAACGAGCGCAACCCUUGUGAAUAGUUGAAUUUUUCUAUUCAGACUGCCCCGGCAACGGGGAGGAAGGAGGGGAUGAUGUCAGGUCAGUAUUUCUCUUACAUCCUGGGCUAGAAACGUGAUACAAUGGCAAGUACAAUGCGCAGCGAAGCCGCGAGGUGAAGCAAAUCGCACCAAAGCUUGUCCCAGUUCGGAUUGGAGGCUGAAACUCGCCUCCAUGAAGUCGGAAUCGCUAGUAAUCGCAGGUCAGCAAACUGCGGUGAAUACGUUCCCGGGUCU
rnacentral:rRNA from 1 species